CCUACGGGUGGCAGCAGUGGGGAAUAUUGCGCAAUGGGCGAAACCCUGACGCAGCGACGCCGCGUGAGGGAUGAAGGUCUUCGGAUCGUAAACCUCUGUCAGCAGGGAAGAACGGUCACUGUGCUAAUCAGCAGUGAAUUGACGGUACCUGCAAAGGAAGCACCGGCUAACUCCGUGCCAGCAGCCGCGGUAAUACGGAGGGUGCGAGCGUUAAUCGGAAUUACUGGGCGUAAAGCGCUCGUAGGCGGUAUGUCAAGUCAAGGGUGAAAUCCCCGCGCUCAACGUGGGAACUGCCUUUGAAACUGGCAAACUGGAGUGUGUGAGAGGAUAGUGGAAUUCCAGGUGUAGGGGUGAAAUGCGUAGAUAUCUGGAGGAACAUCAGUGGCGAAGGCGACUAUCUGGCACAUAACUGACGCUGAGGAGCGAAAGCGUGGGUAGCAAACAGGAUUAGAUACCCGUGUAGUC
rnacentral:rRNA from 1 species